rnacentral:tRNA from 1 species
GCCCACGUAGUUCAGUGGUAGAACACUCCCUUGGUAAGGGAGAGGUCGAGAGUUCAAUUCUCUCCGUGGGCACCA